CCCGUCACACCAUGGGAGUCAUUUGCUCCAGAAGUGGCUGCGCCAACUCGCAAGAGAGGCAGGCCCCAAGGAGUGAAUGGUAACUGGGUG
rnacentral:rRNA from 1 species